UUUUUGUAUUAUAAAGGAUUUUGAAAAUCUUUUUAGAAAACUAAUUUUCACAAAAAA
rnacentral:tRNA from 1 species